rnacentral:rRNA from 1 species
UGGGCGUAAGGGCUCGCAGGCGGUUUCUUAAGUCUGAUGUGAAAGCCCCCGGCUCAACCGGGGAGGGUCAUUGGAAACUGGGAAACUUGAGUGCAGAAGAGGAGAGUGGAAUUCCACGUGUAGCGGUGAAAUGCGUAGAGAUGUGGAGGAACACCAGUGGCGAAGGCGACUCUCUGGUCUGUAACUGACGCUGAGGAGCGAAAGCGUGGGGAGCGAACAGGAUUAGAUACCCUGGUAGUCCACGCCGUAAACGAUGAGUGCUAAGUGUUAGGGGGUUUCCGCCCCUUAGUGCUGCAGCUAACGCAUUAAGCACUCCGCCUGGGGAGUACGGUCGCAAGACUGAAACUCAAAGGAAUUGACGGGGGCCCGCACAAGCGGUGGAGCAUGUGGUUUAAUUCGAAGCAACGCGAAGAACCUUACCAGGUCUUGACAUCCUCUGACAACCCUAGAGAUAGGGCUUUCCCUUCGGGGACAGAGUGACAGGUGGUGCAUGGUUGUCGUCAGCUCGUGUCGUGAGAUGUUGGGUUAAGUCCCGCAACGAGCGCAACCCUUGAUCUUAGUUGCCAGCAUUCAGUUGGGCACUCUAAGGUGACUGCCGGUGACAAACCGGAGGAAGGUGGGGAUGACGUCAAAUCAUCAUGCCCCUUAUGACCUGGGCUACACACGUGCUACAAUGGACAGAA